GAUGGGCAUAGAAGUCAGCCUACAAAGCAGUUGUUUUCUCACCAUGCCCCAAAGGCUGCAAAAUCUGAGUGACACCUGGGAAAGUUUGAAACAGAAGCUUCAGUGCUGCCGAUGGAAGAUCUAAUCUGGAUAAUGCCAGACAAACAUGAGCAGCCUCCAGGAAGCAGGCAUCUAGGGAGCAAGGAAGUCAACACUCUUAUAUGAUAACUACAUGAGAAGGCCACUGCAGGAGAAUGCUUUUGUCCAACAUGGCCUUUCUACUCCCAGCUCACGACUGGUCAAAGGUUGUAGGACGGUCAACAAAACGGUUUUAAAGAUACCAUGAAGUAUCUGCUGCUCUAAGAAACUGCCUUGAAAGCAUUCUAUGAACUUAACUUUGCAUUAUCAGCAAAUUGGAUGCAUUACACUGGAUCUCCUCAUCUAAGUUAUAAAUAAAGUUUGCAAAUAACUGAGUCUGAAGCACUGAUCCUCCUCACACUCCAUGAGUUAUGCUUUGCUGUCCUGAAAGUGACCCAUUUAUUCCUGCUGUGUUUUCAGUCUGUUGACCAGUCCACGACCUGCUAAUACCUCCAGUUAAUCAUGAGUAACAACAUCUACUAUGGCACCUUAUUAAAUAACUUCUGAAAAUUCAAAAA